GAGAAUCACCAAACAUCUCUUAGUUUGCCAGAUACAUUUUCUAGAAAAGAAAAUAGACCAAUUGCGGAAGUACGAGAAGCCAUAUACUACAAGGCGAUCGUUUAACAGAGGUAUUGACAGACUAAAUAUAGCUAUGGAAUCAAAAAUCACAACUUCAAGUUCUUGAUAUUAGCCAAAAUGAAGACAGAGCAACCUAGGUCAAUUUAACACCUGUAGGUCGAAACUUAUAAACACAUGCUGCUCUGGUUUCACUUCCUUCACACUUUGACACGUACAGAAGCAGUCGCCAUAGACAGUUGCUUUCUCAAAACUUGUUGACAGCCAAGCCAACAUCUAACAGGAGCAGAGAAAAAUGAUUAUGUGAUUGAUGGCAGGGCUAUUGUAGGACACACCUGAAGGUGAGAUUGAUUCGAAUAGACAUCGGUUUUGCUCGCUUUGGCACCGAGUGAAGCCAAUCCCGCUGAGUGUAGCCUUUCAUUACGAGGAGCGAUCCAUGUUUUAGUACGAAAGAGUGCUGAUCGGGGUCAUGGCUCUUCCUUAGUCGCUUGCUCUUCGGCUCAUCACCAGAUGCUUAAACCCAAAAUGGAUUUUUUUUUUUUUUUUUUGUAAGCAAAAACAGAAGUAAGAUAGGAAAAGAAGGCAGUCAACUUUAAAAUCAACAACCAUUGAACAGAGCAAAAUCAAAAUACAUAACAAAGUACAAUUUUAAAAUGAAUAUCGAAAAUGAAUAUUUAGCAUUUCCAACAAAAUGAAAAAGCCAGUGUAGUUUGAGCGUGACUACUUGCAUAAACCAAAGAUGUGCUUGAGUUAUACCUGGAGACAUUUUACUGGGUUUUUUCUUUAGCAAAAAUUCACGUUCGCAUCCAAACGUAACUGAGGCGAUUUCUGGGGUGGGUCCAUAGAGCACCUCGUCAUCGGAAUGCCAAGACACAUAAUCAUUGUUACCGUCGUAUCGGUUUAGGACCAAGCUAUUGAAUCUACUUCCAGGACGAGCUUUAUGGACCUUCAAAAGAAACCGAUAAACCGUCAUAACAUCAAUCACUUCAAGAAAUGUGAAGACACUGAAAUAGACUUAAAAGCCGAAUCACUCGGCUAAGGAACAUUACAAGCUCAAAGGCAUCCUUACUGCAUCCAAGAUGUCCUUGAGUGGAGGGAAAUCGUCCCAAGAAUAAGCACGAGGCGAGUGCCCGUUAUAGCUAAUCGCCGGCAAUCCUUCCGCCGCUACAUAACACGAAUCUCUGGGCUGCAAAAGACCAUCCCAUUUACAUUCAGAACGAAAAGAACCCGUGAACAUGGAACCAUGGUCGAAUGAGAGUGUCAAGACAAUCACUGUAGCGACAAAGAACACGUGAAAUUCAAUAAUUACGAUCUCUCAUUCAUGCUUUUCCGACCACACCAUCGAAAGCUGCCACCACCACCACCACGACACGCAGAAACGCGCGCGCGCGCGCAGUGACAGGGGAAAGACCUGGACGAGAUUGCGACCGAAGAUGCGGAGAGUGGGUCGGGACCAAGGGACGUGCUUGUUGAGGUAAUCAAACCAUGCCCACGACUGCUCCGCCGGGAAGAAGCGGGGCACGUGGAAGACCUCGCUCCCAUGCCCAAGAUCGAAGCUUUUCCCCUUCCGCACGCUCUCGGUCGGGUCGAACUCCGAAGGGCUCGACGUCGACGGUGCCGGGUCGGCGUUCGCCGUCAGUUUGCGCAUCAAGCUGUUCAUGUCUCGCCGCCGCCGGAGCUUCUCCGUCGCCGGCGAAGGUCACGGAGACUCGCAGAAAGUCGAGCCCUUUAGACCGGGAGAAUCAACGGUGAAUCUUCCACCGCCGCUUGCCAUUGCCAUCUCUUAUUUCUUUUUUUUGCCUUCCUAUUCCAAAGUCUUUAUUUUCCUAUACUAUGGUUGGAAAUAAUUUUCAGAAAUUUUGUUUGGAGGGCAUGAAAUAUGUUUGUACUGAUUUUCAUUUUCAUGCUUAUUUCAUGCCUAGGACAUGAGGAAUUUCUUUUUUUUUGAACGUAAGGACAUGAGGAAAUUACUUAUUACUUUUACUCAAGAAUUUGAAAAUAUAAAAAUUAGGUAUAAGUGUACUACAAAUCUUAAAACUUAUUAGAAAAGUGUAAUUAAGUCUUAAAUCUUCAAAAAGCAAAAUUAAGUCCUAAAAUUUAUAAUGAAAGUACAAUCGAGUUAUAAAACUUUCAAAAAAUGUAAUAAAGUUUUAAAAUAUUAAAUUGGAUAAGUGUAUUAAAAGUCUUAAAACUUAACAUAAUAAUGCAAUUGAAUUCUAAAAUUUUAAAAAUGUGCAAUAGUGUAAUUAAUAACUAAAUUUUGUAACAAAAGUACAAUUGAAUUCUAAAAUUUUCACCACCCGCGAGGGUGGCUCCGUUGGUAGGCUCCAGGACUUUCACGUUGGAGGCCGGAGUUCGAAGCCCCUGUGACGCUAGUGGUAGGGAGGCAAGUGGAGAUACUUGGCGACUUACUCGGGGUGCGUGGGUGGUGAUUUUCUACGUGCCUCUCCUGGAGUUUACUCCCAGCUGUCGGCUGUGCGGGGUUCCCCUAAGUCACAAAAAAAAAAAAAUCCUAAAAUUUUCAAAUUUUUACUAAAAAAAAAAAAUCCUAAAAUUUUCAAAAAGUGUCAUCAACAAAAGGUUUUGAUUUGAUUAAUUUGAUAAGUUUUAAAACUUAAUUGCACUUUUUAGGACUUGAUUGCAUUUUUGUGACAAGUUUUAGAACUUAAUUGCAUUUUUUAAAAGUUUAAGAAUUAAAUUGUACUUUGUUGACAAAUUUUAGGAGUUCUAAUGCAUUUAUCUCAUAUCAAAUUGGUUCAAUCGAGUCCUUCUAUUUAUUUAUUUAUUCAUUUUUUUGGUGACCAAACUUCUUCUAUUUAUUGUACUACUUUCAUGAUGAUUUUUUAAACUUAAUUGUAUUUUUUUUAAAUUUUAAGACUCAAUUAUACUUAACUAUAUUGUGAAAUUGCAAAUGGGCUUAAACUAUGGGUGCACGGUGGAAGACGUGCUUACUGGUUUAUCGAUGCAAUGCUGAGGUUGGAGAUCAGUCUAUUUCAAACCGGAAAGGAAUGGCUUCAUGGGAGCCGCUCCCACGACGUUGUUGCAGUCCCUAGUCCAACAUAAGCGAUGGUCCGGGGGCGAUUUUCUGAGCUUGAAUUGCCAAGAAAAGGAAAUCUUUACAAUGUGAAAAAAGAAAACUAUUUACACAGAAUCAGCUUCAGGAUGGCAAGGCCGGGCAAAUCAAGCAGUGGCGAAAGAGCUAAUCCCCCUCCAAAAACUUCUAUUUCCAUUCGAAUCGGGUGCAUGAAAAAGAUGAACCGUUUGAAGAAAAAUGCACCUCGAAUCCCAGGUUAUCUGAGACAAAGUUCGAUCAAGAAUGCCCGGAAAAUGGCUGCGACAACGGCAUCCAUACAACAUUCAUCGGCUGACUCCUGGAAAGGAAAUCGGCGUGAUGAUCUUGACAGUAUCUUCCACAAGAAAAGAAAAUUCACAAACAAGAAAGGGUCAGAGAGAGAGGGGGGGAAUUGCGGUUACCAGAUUGUUUGAAAGAACUGGUUUUUCUCUUCUUCUUUUUGGGUGUUUCUCUUGGAAGCCUUGGUUUUCGUGGGAGAGAAACCAGAGGAACAGGACAGGUAAGUCCCUCCUAUUGAACGCCGAAAGAGGAGAGGACUUCGCGGGCUUUCAUCGGUCAGCGCCAACCGCCAACCGCCAACCGCCAACCGAAACAUGUUCCUUUUUGCUCUUCGUGCAUUUGUGGUUCCCAAACGUAGGAUCAUCAGAAGAGGGGCUGAUCAUAAUUACCACUCGGAUUUGCUUUUCGUCUUUCGCCCAUCGGCAAGGCCAUUUGACAAAUCUCAGCGGCGAUUCAAUUGAGAAAUUUUUUACCCGAGCCGAAAUGUGGACUAGUGCAAUUGAUUUUGUAUUUCUAGCAUUAUCUUUAGAGAUUUUAUUCUAAAAAUUCCACAUUCCCGUUAGAAUUUGCUGACUGAUGAUCCAUAUUUUGUGAAACUGGACUAAAAUGGGUUACCACAACUCGAUUAAACUCAUGAAUUGAACUUGAGAUCACAACUCCAAGUAAGCACAUUUCCAUUGGCAACCCAGCAAAUUCUAAUGUGUGGACUGAAUUAUACCAAAUCAAAAGGACGCCAAUAGAUAUAUUGAAGAUAUCAAAUUGAAAAGAUAGCAUAACUACCUUGGAUGAGUGAAGACAUCAUAAUAAGUUUUAGCACAUUCUACGAUGACUGCAGGUGGAGAUCCAUGGAAUGGAGGAUAAUGGUGGACCUGGGUACAUUGGCACCGGGUGCUUUCAUCGGCGACAGACACUGUGUGGGAGAAAGUAUAAACGAGGACUCUGUGUACAUUUGAGUGGGAUAACCACCUGAGGAUACAAGAUAGUGCAAGUGUCCUAGAAGAAACGUGUAAACCACUAGCCAGCUGUGGUUGUGAAGAGAACACUGAGUGGGGAAAGGAGGUCUCUCUCUCUCUCUCUCUCUCUCUCUCUCUCUCUCUCUCUCUCUCUGUGUACAUUUGAAUGUCCUAACUAGCACAUAUAUCAUAAGAGCGAUAGUCACGAGUACACGCAUACACUCGAGUCAUCCUUAUGACUAACGAAAUCGAAGACCUCGAUUUGCUCAAAAGCUAGUCAAAACAUGUUAACCAAAUCAACGUUUGGCCCAAAUUUUCGAGCCUUUUGAGUAGUUUUCAAAAUUUUCUGAAAGAAACCUUAUCAAAGAAUGGAAAUGUGGGAAGAAAUUCAGCACCAUAUUCUACAGAUAACAAGAGAGCAGUGCUUUCUGUAGUCUGCUACAAACAAUAGAAAAGCAGUUUACAAGUUCAUGGAAACCGAGCUUAGAUGAUAUACAUCAAAUGUAGGGCUCCUCUGUCAUUCUGAUUAAGUUCAAAGAUUAAAGAACAAAAGCAAUUGAGCCUCUUAUAUCAUUCCGGACUUUGAUGGAACCAAAAGCUCUACUUAUAUCAUAAUUAUUCAAAGACUGGACUGGGCUAAGCAGCCAUCAGAACUGAAUUUAGGCCACACAGGCAGUCUUUCGAGCACUAGAAAUAUGCAAAUAUACACAUUCAAAAGCAUCCAUGAAAAGAGUCUUGUCUGAAUUACAGAUGGGUCUAAAGUAUGGCUGCCCAGUGGAAGAUGUCCUUACCAGUUUAGCAAUACACUAUAGAGGUUGGAGAUUGUCAUGCCCCGAUCCUCGGGCGCACGCCCAUCCCGGCUUGGUCAAUUAAAUAGCGACGUCCCAAGACACAUCGCCGAUCCUUUCAUUUUAGUAUGCAUACGGAAGCAUAUAAAUAAUCCCCAGAUAAUAAAACAAUGUGAUAGGAAAGUAGGACAAAUUUUUCACAAAAGACUUUUUUAUAAACACACAGGUUUAUACACAUAAGCCUACAAAAAGGAAUCAGCUUUCAACAAAAGAGUAGUCCUGGGACUAACUAGUCGGACAUGCUCAGCGAUUCUCCAGGCUUCACCUUCUAAACUUCGGACCUCAGGUCCUCCAAAACUUUCAAUUAAGGACCUAAAAAUGUUAUUCCACAAUGGGGUGAGACUACAACAAGUUUAACCCCCUAAAACCCGACUAGGAAGAAAAUACUCCCAAAUGGCUGCCUAAGCACAAUCACGAAUCAAAGGGCUUACCUUAGCCUCAGUACUUUCCUGCACGUCAAUAAAGAGGAAAUUUGAAUUUUCAACAAGUUCAACCGAUGGAGAUGGCCCCACAUGAUAUGCUAGUACCAUGUGGUACAUGACAGCAUUAAAGGUUCACUUAUAAACUAUCUCGAAAACAUGUAUAUCACAGAUAUAGAUCUUCCAUGGCUUUAAUGUCUUCCAAUCGUACAUAUCUAGAAUUUCGGUGCGCUUGUUACUCUUAAUUUGAGCAUAGUUGCGAAGUAUUGCAUAAUUUAAUAAUGCGAUUCAUCAUCAGGAGAUAGAGAAUUCGUCCAAAUUUCAGUUAUGGCUAAUUACAUAAAAAUUGUUCCUCCAACCACGAUGACUAAUAUAUUGCUCCAAGAAAAUUUGACUUCACUACCAUUUGGUUGAAUCACCGACUAUCAAAAAAAAAAAAAAAAAAACUAGCCACGGCCUUCUAUAUCAAUAUUGCCUAAUUGCUUCACACACUUGCCAUGCGGAGAGGAGGACAAGAAAAGAAACAAAAAAUGGGAGAGAAGAGUAAUCUUCCUCUCUUUGAAACAAAGUCAGCCAACAACCGCUUCAUCUUCAGAUUAUACACACUUUCCAUCUUCAUCAGCAUCUGCUUCAUCUUCUACUUUAGAAUCCAUCACUUGCCAGAGUCCAAAACAGCUGAGAAGUUGGCCUGGCUUGGAGCUUUCUUUUCUGAGCUCUGGUUCGCUUUUUACUGGUUUCUCACCAUCAUCGUAAGAUGGAACCCUUCGUAUCGCCACACCUUCAAGGACAGGCUUUCUCAGAGGUGCUCUCUCUCUCUCUCUCUCUCUCUCUCUCUCUCUUCUCUCUGUGAUGGAAGAAGCUAAUGUUUUUCAACCUUAUCGGUUGUGAGAAAAUAAUGUGCUAAGCAUCAAUACCUCGACAAUUUUUUCUUAGGAUACGCUCUUCAAAAAUAUAGUUGAAAUUUUCGGUAUGAUGUAUUGGCCUUAGUCUCAUAAAACCAUUACAGGAACAAACUGAACCAAGGCACUAAGGAGGAACAAAAGAAAAAACAAGUCUUUCUGGUGUAAUCGUUGUAUGAGAUUUGAAUUUAGUCUUUUACUAACGAUAUAUUCAUGAACUCUUUUAGGUACGAGGGGGUUUUUCCUGGAAUAGACAUAUUUGUGUGUACAGCAGAUCCUGUAAUAGAGCCACCAAUCAUGGUGAUCAAUACCGUCUUGUCAAUCAUGGCAUACAAUUAUCCACCGGAGAAGAUGAGCAUCUAUCUCUCCGACGACGGCGGUUCGGACCUUACUUUUUAUGCGUUACUUGAGUCUUCUCAAUUCUCCAAGAAAUGGCUUCCCUUUUGCCGGAAGUUCAAUGUUGAACCAAGAUCCCCGGAGGCCUAUUUUAGAAGUGCUGUUGAGCCUCUAAAUGAUCGUCUCUGGUCCACGGAGCUGUCCUCCAUUAAAGUAAGCACAUCUCUCUCUCUCUCUCUCUCUCUCUCUCUCUCUCUCUCUCUCUCUCACUGUGCCAUUUUUUUUAGUAAAAUAUUCAUGACUAUCAUCUAUAUGUGUGAUUUUAGCUAAAUUAGCAAUCAAAAAGCCGAUUAACUCCAUAUCUACAUGUACACUUCAACUAUACAAAAGCCUACUCUAAUUAACUAAACUAGCAACACCCAAAACACCACAUCAUGAUUGGUUUCAAGGUAGAUAAGUUCCACACCAAAUACCUGAAAUCAUCAGAGUCGGUACCUAUUUUUUGAAAACAAGAACCGAAAAAGCUGACUCUGAAAUUGACCUCAAACCGAACUAGCCAACCUUUUCUUUUUCAUCUAUUUAGUAACUCAAUCAUAUAUAUUAUGUAAUUGUAAUGUAAAAAUUUCCCAAAAAUAAACAUAAAACCGAGAACUAGAAAAGAAAGCAGAAAGUUCUUAAGAGAUUGAGGGGAAGUUCUCGGGUAAACUGAAGGUUCCCCUUAUAGAAUCAAGAACUGAACCAUUGAAGGCUGGUUCCCAAAUUUUUCACCCAGGAUCAAACUAAUCCUCAUGUACAUCGGCCCAAAACCAGUUGAAUAAGACUGAUUCAGUUCGGUUCUAGAAUGGAACCGUCCCCGUUGCUUGUAUCAACAUGUACUCUUAACCUACACAAGGCAGUUUUGUAACCUAUCCUCUCUCUCUCUUGCGCAUUUAUUCCAAAGCAUGUUGAGGCAUGCGUGCCUCAGUUUCAAAGCCUAGCAUUAGAAUAUUUGAACACAUCUCCACCUAUACGAUUGUGAGACUUUAGGGUAUGGUCCAAGGUAGACAACAAGUUUAUCAACGAUUUAAAACUAGUUUUACCAAGUCCACCAUCGAUUUAAUAUGUUGCUAGCGCAUCAAAAAACACGCAACGCGUUGCUACUUGCCAAAUAAUUUAGUCUCUGCUAGGACACAAAGCUCCCAUUUUUAAAACCCUAAGAGGUUGAAAAGAUCGCCUGAUAGGUUUCUUGAAUCUAGCGGGCUAAUUUGUGGGGAGCUAUUCAUCCUUUUCUAUUUGCGUAGUGCUAUAAGACACUGAAGACUAUGGUCCUGCACUCUUCUUCUUCUGUUCUUAGCCUUUCAAGUGCCAUUUGUCUCCUUUGGCCACCUUCUCGAAAACACGUUAGAUGAUCUGUAAACUUUACGUUGAUCAGCUCUAUCUACAUAAUUGAUGAUGUGAGCGUCAAGGUGAGACUCGCAUGAUUGAUGGUCCAAAUGAUAUCGGUUCACAUCAUUUCAUAAAUCAUGUAAUGACUUCUUUUUUGGAAUUUACCUCCUCUUUUUGGAGAUCUCACCUUCUCAGUUAUCCAAAACGUUGAAUGGUAGUUAUAUGAAAAGACUUUUAUUCGCGACGAUUCCAUUCUCACGAGAUCUGUCAGAGAGAGAAUCAUUUGUUCUCAUCGUCGUUCUCAUUGAGAACGAUGUUUAGGGCCCAUUAUAUUCAACUUCACAUGAGAGUUUCUUUUGACAAAUUCCACACUUCACUAAAAAAUAGUGGCUGGACAGAAGCUUUCAACCUUACGAUAUCGACAAAAAAAACUAAUGCCAUCUACUUGACAUCAAAUUAAUUCUUUUGUCAGCAUUGAAAGGUACAUCUUGGACGGGAUUCGAGUGUCGUGGACUCAAAUUACAAAGAUUUCUUUAAAAAAAAAAAAAAACAUUGCUUUUGUGGCCACAUAAACCAUGGUUUUGGAUUCAUUUGAAAAAUACAUUAAAAGUGUCAUAACUUUUGUAUAAAGUUCACUUUUUUUUUGUCAAUCUUACUUUAAUCCUACUCUAACACACACUCUCAGACUUUUGUCCUGCCUUGCAGGGCGAGGGAGUCGAAACCCACUUUUGAAAUAAAAUCAUCCCCAUCCCAAUCCCUCCUGAGAAUAUGGGAAUUUGAACCUCCAACCUCCAUCUUCCAAGUUGGAAAAGUAGCCACUGGGGCAAACCCCCAGUAGUUUUAUAAAGUUCACUUUGUUGUUAAAACUUAAGUGGCAAACUAGAGAAAAAAUUAUACUAAGUACCUCCAACGAUAAAUUCCUGGUCAAAAGUCCUUUUUUAAUUAAAUGUUUAUUCCUACGUGGCAUUUUAAUCAAAAAAGGCGGUACAACAUAGACAAUGAGGUGGCUGAGUUGAAGGAAAAAACGCCGCUUCAAAUCUUUUGCUCAAAAGACUGAGAUCUCUUACAAGUGACUCGCUAGCUCAAAUUACAAUUUAAAGCUCGGUUCUCGGAGGGAAAAAAUUGAAAUCUUCUGCCAGGGUUCAAUCAAAUUCAAGAUGUUCUUGGAUUUCUAAGCCCACAAUAAUAGUAAUAACCACAUUCGUCUUCACUUUAUUGGAACGAAUUUAAGCCUCUUAUCCCUCUUCUGCUCUCUAUUGCAAUAAUCAGCUCUUAAUUUUGGGGGAAACCGAUUAUGGUCUGAAAAAAUUAGGAAAAGGCUUGAUUGUUUGAAUUAGGGUUUAUAUAUGGGGUAAAAAAUGCAAAAGACGUAUGGGAUAUUAAUGCUAACUGAGCAUGGCGAUGAAUCACACUGGUCAAUGAAAUUGAUAAAAUAUUGCCAUGUCGAAUUUUUGGCAUCCAAAAUUGGAGUUAACACUAAAGUGAUCUUUUUUUUUUUUCACAAGUAGCACUUAAGUGAUAAAAAAAAAUAUCAAAGUGAACAUUGUACGAAAGUUAUGGUAUUUGUAAUGUCUUUUUUCCUAUAAGAAGUAAAAAAUAAAAAAAAAAUACUUCCAUCCAGCCAAAGAUCACUUAAAUCAAGCAAAAAAAAUGUAUAAGUUUCAUCUUGGUACUUUCAUAAAUUUUUCAUAAAAUACAGCAGAUAUUAAAUCCCAUUAAAUUCGGCUUAUAUGUAUGGAGGAUUAUGCCAAAAUAUGUUAUGGAUAAAAUAUACAGAUGCUACUAUGGACCUAUGUUGAAAAAAGUAGCCCUAGACAACGUCACAAUAUGAUGUGAAUGGAAUUUAGCCAAUACCGAUCCUGGAAAAUUUUUGUCUCUGUCAAAGCAUAACAUCGUCCAACGGCAGCGUCACAGUGAUAUUUGGCAAGAUAUAGUGUCCAAUAGACUGGGUUAAGAAAAUUGUGGAAGUAAAGGAACUUGAUUAGAUAAAUUAAAAGUGCGAUCGAAUAUUGGAUACAGGAAAGAGAUCAUUGGAAACAAUGAAGGAUUGAAUUUUAGGGACGGGAAUUCCAAAUUAAUGUAUGACAUCCCAUUCCCAAUUUCAAUCCAAGGUGACUCAUUCCACCUUCCACAUAACUGUAUGAAAUAAAUGAUAUAUAGCAAAACUUGACAGAACUUUGCCCUUGGGUUAUGCUUAUGACAGAAUUUAUACGAGGACAUGAAGAAACGAAUCGAAACAGUAGCAGAGUUGGGACGGAUUCCAGAUGACAUUCGCAAGCAACACAAAGGAUUUCUUGAAUGGGACACUGUCUUGAGCCCGAGAGAUCAUCAAACAAUUCUUCAAGUACCAUGCAUCUACUUUAAAAGAUUAACGUUCUAAUCUUUUGGCAACAUUAAUGACAUGCUUCUCCUGAUUCUUCAGAUAGUGAUCGAUGGGAGGGAUCCCAUGGCAGUGGACAGUGAAGAACAGCCUCUACCAACUCUGGUGUACUUGGCCAGAGAAAAGAGACCACGAUACAAACACCAUUUCAAAGCAGGAGCUAUGAAUGCUCUGGUAAUUCUCAACAUACCGUACUCAUACACAUGAUUCACUCAAAGCCCUAUUUUUCAUCACCAAGAAAAGUGAAGAACAUCAACUUCCACACAGAUUUUUCUAUUUAUGUAUGGGAGGAUCUUGCCCUUGGAUCGAUUUGAGGGCUUAAAAUACCAUAUUGGUGCCAAUCUUUAUGUUAUUUUUCUGAAAAAAAAAAUAGAUCAGGGUCUCAUCAAGGAUCAGCAACGCGCCCAUCAUCCUUAAUGUGGACUGCGACAUGUAUGCGAACAACAUGGACUCGGUGAGAGAUGUACUGUGCUUCUUCAUGGACGAAGAGAAUGGUGAUGAGAUUGGUUUUGUACAGUUCCCGCAGAACUUCGAUAACCUCACGACCAAUGACCUAUACAGCAGUUCCUUUAAUGUACUAAGCAAGGUAAGCCACUUCGAAAGGAUUUCAACACAACACUGUCCCUUACUGUGCUAUAUGUCAAAUGUGCUUAAUGCGCUCGCUUUAGGUUCAAUUCUAUUGAUUCUACCAGUUCCAUUAGAAUAUGCAGACUGAUACACCAUAUUUAAUAAACUGCACUAAGAUGGGUAACCAUGACUCAAUUGAACGCGUGAAGUGAACCUGAAAUCACAAGUCCAAGUCAGCACAUACCCAUUGGCAACUCAGCAAAUUCCAAUGUGUGGACUAACAUGAAGCUAAUUAAAAGGAGGCCGAUAGACUCUAUUGGACAUUUUAAAUUGAAGGGAUGGGACAAGUACAUUGGGUGCGUGAAGAUACCAUAAUGACUUUAAGUACAUUCUACCAUGAUUGCAGGUGGAGCUCCAUGGUAUGGACAAUGAUGGCGGACCACCAUACAUCGGCACCGGGUGCUUUCAUCGGAGAGAGACACUGUGUGGGAGAAAGUAUAGACAGGGAAGUAAAAGUGAGUCCUUGAGGUGGGAUCAUCACCAGAGGAUACAAGAUAGUGCAAGUGUCCUAGAAGAAACAUGUAAACCACUAGCCAGCUGUGGCUAUGAAGAGAACACCGAGUGGGGAAAGGAGGUCUCUCUCUCUCUCUCUCUCUCUCUCUCUCUCCCCCCUAAAUUUUCGACCCUUUCGAGUAUAUUUCAAAAUUUUCUGUAGAGAAACUUAGUCAAAGAAUGGAAAUAGGGGAAGAAAGCAGAGAAGGUUAAGCAUUCAGCACCAUAUUCUAUAUAUAACAAGUGAGCAGUGCUUUCUAUAGUCUACAACUAACAAGCUUGAAGCAGUUUACAAGUCCAUGGAAACAAAGCUUAUAUGAUAAACCUCUCAUGUAAGACUAUGUCAUUUUGAUUAGGUGAUGUAAGACUAUGUCAUUUUGAUUAAGUGCAAAGAACAAAAAACAAAAGCAAAUGAGUCUCUUAUAUCAUUCCAGAUUUUGACGCAACCAAAAGCUCUGCUUAUAUUAUAUUAUUCAAAGACUGGACUGGAAAUUCAGCCAUUGGAACUGAAAUAUGCUACACAGGCAUGCUUUCCAGCACUAUAAAUAUGCAAAUACACUCAUGCAAAAGCAUCCAUGAAACAAAUCUUUUCUGAAUUGCAGAUGGGUCUAAAGUAUGGAUGCCCAGUGGAAGAUGUCCUUACCGGUUUUGCAAUCCACUGCAGAGGUUGGAGAUCAGUCUAUUUCAACCCCGAAAGGAAAGGCUUUCUAGGAGUUGCUCCCAUGACAUUGUUGCAGUCCCUAGUUCAACAUAAAAGAUGGACUGAAGGUGAUCUCCAAAUCUUCCUGUCACAGUACUGUCCUCUGUUGUAUGGACAUGGCAAAAUCCCCCUGAAGCUGCAACUCUCGUAUUGUGUCUACUUGCUAUGGGCGGCAAAUUGCUUGGCUUCUCUGUUCUAUGUAACUAUUCCAUCUCUCUGUCUACUCAGAGGCAUCUCCUUGUUCCCCAAGGUAAUUAAUUAGAUGACUUUCUUUUGUGAGAAAACUAAUUCUGAUGCCUCAACCUUCCACAGGUAUAAAUAAAUGUACACGUAACAUUGGUCCUAGAGCUAAAAUCUCAAAACAAUCAAGUCAUUAAACAUUAGAUAAAUUCCAGCUAUACCCCCUCCAUUAUAGUAGCACUACACUGACACCACCCAAAAAGUGUCAAAAGCAAGCACUUAUAACUUGUGCUAGCCAUUUAAUCAACCCUGAUUUGGCCACUUGACAGUGUAAAACACUUGACUAUGAUAUAACCAUAGUGCAGGGGCAUCCACAUAAUCUUUGCUUUAAAAUGUCCUUUGCUACAGCUAAUAGCUUCUUGCACCAUCAGGUUUCAAGUCAGUGGAGCUACCCAUUCAUCUAUACCAUUAUGGCAACUAGUGCAUACAGUGCUGGAGAAUUCGUAUGGUGUGGAGGCACUCUUCGCGGUUGGUGGAAUGACCAAAGGAUGUGGCUCUAUAAGAGAACAGCUUCCUAUUUCUUUGCCUUCUUCGACAACAUUCUGAGGCUGCUGGGUACUUCCAAGUCUGCCUUUGUCAUCACUGCGAAAGUGGCAGACAAUGAUGUAUCAAAGAGGUAUGAGCGAGAGCUUAUGGAGUUUGGUGCACCCUCUCCUAUGUUCACAAUCCUAACUACCCUUGCUUGUCUCAAUGCGUUGAGCUUUAUUGGAGUUUUACUGAAGUUAGCAGUGCAUGGUCAGACUCCAGACCAGCUGGCUAUGCAGAUCAUAUUGUGCGGUUUGCUGGUCUGUGUCAACCAGCCUCUAUAUGAAGGUAUUUUCUUACGAAAAGACAAGGGAAAAAUGCCCACUUCAGUGGCAUAUAAAUCUGCAGUCUAUGCUCUAGUAGCCUGUUCUUUAGCCUAUGUAUAAUCUACCAUGCACUGUAUUGGCUAGAAGUUGCCGAAACUUCAUGAAUAUUUAUAUCACACACUAGACAUGAUACAAAGUAGGAUGCCCUCAGGAAGGACCUGAUGUGAAAAACUUUCUGCUGCUAUUGCUCUGUCCUAUUUUGUGUAGUCUUUAUCAUUCCUAUUAUUGCCAUCUCAAUGUUAUUAUUGUAUUGUUCAAUCAAAGCGAAAAUGUUGAGACCUCGUUCUUCAUACCUAGAGAAUCACCAAACAUCUCUUAGUUUGCCAGAUACAUUUUCUAGAAAAAAAAAAUAGACCAAUUGCGGAAGUACGAGAAGCCAUAUACUACAAGGCGAUCAUUUAACAGAGGUAUUGACAGACUAAAUAUAGCUAUGGAAUAAAAAAUCACGACUUCAAGUUCUUGAUAUUAGCCAAAAUGAAGACAGAGCAACCUAAGUCAAUUUAACACCUGUAGGAUGAAACUUAUAAACACAUGCUGCUCUGGUUCCACUUCCUUCACACUUUGACACAUACAGAAGCAGUCGCCAUAGACAGUUGCUUUCUCAAAACUUGUUGACAGCCAAGCCAACAUCUAACAGGAGCAGAGAAAAAUGAUUAUGUG
rnacentral:lncRNA from 1 species